rnacentral:lncRNA from 1 species
UAUACAUUCCCAAAAACCUUAAGAACAAAAUAAUAAGAACAGUUAAUGAAUUGCCUUUCAAGUUUUCACUUAUUAGUUUUGGGUUUUCAAAAUACAGUAACAGAGAAUCAAAUGUAAAAAUAGAGCAUACAGAAACAAAAGGAAAAUGGCAUAAUUGUCCUCUGAUUUAAAACAUGUGGUCUCGUAUGCAUUACCAACAUGAACCGGAUAUCAAAAUAGAUAUUCAUUAAUAUCUCAUGAGAAAAAUAAGCUAGUUACCUGACUAGGGUUCUAAAAUCCACCAAUUCAGACAUACAUACAUAUAUAUACAUAUCUCCAAUGACUAAACAAGUAUACCCAAAAGUGCCAUUACAAAUUAUACAUAUACUUAUCUCAAGUCAUACCCAAAUUCAAAAUCCCUAAGAUUCCUUCACUGAUGUUGCUUUCCUCCUAUAUGUUGGCAACUGAAAAAGAUUUGAGAUGAAUGGUAUAAGCAAACCACCUCUCGGUAAAUAGUACAUAUCUCUUCUCAACAAAUCAAGCGUCAACAUGCAUAUUAUAAACAAUAAUAGAAACACGACCAAAUCUAGUAAAAUAAUAUAUGUAAAAGUCUAAAUAUGAGUUACAUCACUUCAACAAACUUUUUAUACAUAUCAGAAACACUCAUUUCGGUCAACAAUAUUAAAGCAAACAUCAAUGGUAACCACAUUUAAUGCCCCGUGACAAGGCUUACCAAGAUUCCCUCCUAGGCAUAGGUCCCCACUAAUGUCAACUAGCGGCUUUGGCCAUACAAGACAUCCUGAGAACAUGUAUGCUUACUCACAACCUUUCAAUGAUUUCAUAUCAUAGCAAUAAGAGGAUAAAACCAUCAACAUAAUCUUGUCGACAGCAAACACAUUUCAGAACUCAUUUAAUAAACGAGAGUCAAAAAUCAAUACAACCCUUCGCAAUUCCAUCCACAAGAAGAAUACAGUCAUGAAGAAUUUCUCAAAUUAUUUCAUAAAUAAUCAACUCUCCAAUUAUGCUAUUUCAAAUAACCAAAUGAGGUAGUAAAUGCAAUAUCCAGCCUUAUAUAUCAAAGAUGUUCUAAACACCAUUUUUAAAACUAAAUAAAUAUCAUGACAUGCAAUGUCUCAUUCAUAACUUAUAGCAUAUCUAAUUCCUGUGAUUUUUAAGCCGUGAGUUAACAAAUCAGAGAAGAGAUAAGCACCAAAAGCCAAAUUAAAAACCUUACCACCCGGAAAGCCUAAAAAUCCUAUCAAAGAAAGCAUUAACCAAAUGUCAAACUUACGUAUCACUAACCUCAACUAAGAUUCUACUAGGCAACGCUUAUUUUGGGAGUCAAAACGUCCAGUGCGAUUCGACAAAAAGGCCAUACAAGCAUCAAACUUGCUAUAGCGAAUAGAGCAGCAAUCUCAUCUUACGCUGUGAAUUUUAGCACGUCAUACAUCUCUACUGAACUAGUGAGUUUAUAGUCGAACGAGAGCUAAUUCAAAGUACUAAAAGACCCAAAACUCCUUAGAACCAAAAUUUGGCCAGCAACUAAUGAAAUUCGGGAUGAAACCCUACUAGUUGCAGUCAUUGUAAAUUAAUUUUUGAGAACUUCGAGAAAUCAAUAACUCUCAAGCGGCAAUCAGUGAAAUCUCACGAUCCCAAGACCAAUCUAAUCUUCCAAAACAACAUAAUGUUACGGUUCAACAAUCUCAAGAAUCAACCUAGCAACCCUAAAACCCAAAUCAAUCCAAAAUGGCAACUUAACAGAGCAAAUCUCUUUGAUUUCAUUAGAUGUAUUAAGGUCUCGAAUUCUUACUGAGUGCUCCAAAACGGUAUCAAUCUAGCUCUUCGUGGCCUCCAAACCAAAUCAUGCCAAAAGCCUCUUUCGCUCGCUCUCAGAUUCCACACCUUUUUCUUCUGCUUUCUCUUUCUUUUGCCGGCUCGCUCCUCCCCAUCUUUUUGUUGCUCCUGAUUUUUUUUACGAACC